GCAUUCUGGAUUCAUUACAAAACUAAAAUAUUGCAAGCCUUUUAUUCUUUUAAUAUUGCUGAUUAUGGCUUACAGCUUAAGAAAACUCAAAUAUCCUAUCUCUAAAUAUUAGAAUAUUUCCUCAGACCAAGUAAAAAAAAAGAUUUAUAACAGCAAAACAAAAUCAAACAUUUGAAAAUGUCCAUUAAUGUACUUGGUUGGGAAUCCUUUUGCACGGAUUACUGCAUCAAUGCGGCGUGGCAUGGAGGCAAUCAGCCUGUGGCAUUGCUGAGGUUUUAUGGAUGCCCAGGAUGCUUCAAUAGCAGCCUUCAGCUCAUUUGCAUUGUUGGGUCUGGUGUCUUUCAGCUUCUUUUUCACAAUACCCCACAAAUUCUCUAUGGGGUUCAGGUCAGGGGAAUUGGCAGGCUAAUCGAGGACAGUAAUGCCAUGGUCAGUACACCAGUUACUGGGGGUUUUGGCACUGUGGGCAGGUGCCAGAUCAUGCUGGAAAAUGAAAUCCUCAUCUCCAUAGAGCUUUUCAGCAGACGGAAGCAUGUAGUGCUCUAAAAUCUCUUGGUACACAGCUGCAUUUACUCUGGACUUGAUGAAACACAGUGGACCAACACCAGCAGCUGACAUGGCUCCCCAAACCAUCACUGACUGUGGGAACUUCACACUGGAUUUCAAGCAACUUGGAUUUUGCUCCUCUCCAGCCUCUGGCGCCUUGACUUCCAAAUGAACACUUGCUUUCGUCUGAAAAGGAGACUUUGGACCACUCUGCAACUGUCCGGUGCUUCUUUUCCAUAGCCCACGUCAGACGCUUCUUCCGUUGUCUUGAGUUCAGAAGUGGAUGUGCUUUGAAACUGCACUCUGUGAACAGCUUGCUCUUUGAGAAAUUUCUUUUUGUGUCUUACCCUCCAUCAGGAGGGUGUCAAUGAUGGUCCUCUGGACAGCAGUCAGAUCAGCAGUCUUCCCCAUACUUGUGAUUUAAGUUUACUGAACCAAGCCGAGUGUUUUUCAAGGCUCAGGAAACCCUUGCAGGUGUUGAGUUAAUUAGACGAUUCAAGUGAUUAGUUGAAUACCCUACUAGUAUACUUUUGCAUGAUAUUCUAAUAUUUAGAGAUGGGAUAUUUUAAGCUGUAAGCCAUAAACAGCAAUAUUAAAAGAAUAAAAGGCUUGCAAUAUUUCAGUUGAUUUGUAAUGAAUCCAGAAUGCAUGACAUGUUUUUUUAAUUGCAUUACAGAAAAUAAAGAACUUUAUCAAAAUAUUCUAAUUUUCUGAGACAGUCCUGUAUAUGCGUGGAAGUGGUAUGAAACGGGUGUGGUGUGAGAACCCAGGUGAGCAGGGGGCUACAUAUAAAUAAAUGUUCUCCACCCACCAAACAUAAGUUUGUGACCGUGAACGUUACGCUUUGUGCCAAACUAAAGCGUUACGAAGGUGGUGGUGUUGAAAAGUGACCAGAGGCCAGCGGAUAACUCUUUUAAUCCACAGCCAAUUCCUCAAUAUGCAUGUCUUAACAGCGUCACAAAUCUAGCGCCUACGUUACAUUGUUACAGCAACGGUAGUCCACAAAGUCAAAUGUAGUCUAUAUGUUUUUCAUGGUGGAAAUGCAACAUUGCCUCUUAAAAAGUAUAUAAAAUAUGCAAACGUUAAAGAAUGUCUAAAGAAAACUCACUCACACGAGGUAAAAACGGUGAUCACGAGACAAGACAAACUAUGGCUAUGGACACUGCUGGUAUGACGACGUAGAUUGACACACUGGCACAAGACUGUCACGAUGUAGGUCCUCGGGGCGCAGAGUCAGCACGACACGGCUGGUUGCAAUAUAACAAUUCUUUAUUCGAAGUUUUCACACACAGAGCAGUGAGGUCUCCGCGUCUCUCUCUCCCUCGCCGCCGCUCUCACUGCUCUUAAAAAGACAUAAACACAGGGUUAGAGUAGCAUCAGCUGUGCUGAUGCCAAUUGCUCCCACCUGGCACGGUUCCCUGAGCCACUCCCCCCUCUCUCCCGCUGCAGACGAGCCAAAACCACGCCCGCCACCACAAAGACAAAGGGAGAUGCAGGCUGUAAGAACUCAUGGGGGGGGAAGAGAACAGGUGGACACAAUCAGGAAUCGAGGGACAAAGACGCAACUAGACAUACAGGUGUGACGAGUGAUCCAUACAGUCAGGAGCACCUAUUUGAGUAAAGUCCUGUACCAACGGACUCCGUCCGCUACGUAAAAAGUCUGGAAGUACUACAACAGCAACGGACAGCUUGAGGAAAGAAGAAACCUGUGUCUGGUGGUCAUACAGUUCUCCAUUAGUUAUUAUUCUCAUGUGUCUCUAUCUAUCAAUAAAUCCAUCAAUUUACACUGCUGCUGCAGAUGAAGUUGCACAUUUCUAACGUUUGAAAUGAAAGUCUUAAACCUCUUUUUAGAAAUGUUGGAGCUUUCAAUGUUAGUGAAGUUAAAAAGUCAAUCUAAAUAGUCUUGGGUCUAAUUGAUUGAAAUUCCCUCAGGUUGUAGCUGUGAAAUGAAAUACAAGCAUUUACUAUCUGUUGACUUCAUUUGUAUUGGACACUGGGGCACGAACGCUGGAGGAAAAAACUGUUUUUAGGAAAAUUUUGGUGAAAUUUCAAUCCGAGAGUUAGCUUUUUUUAAACUUUGUUGAUCCUUUCUCACUUUUUUCAGGCAUGAAAAUCCCUCACCUUUCGGCGAAAUUUGCCGUUUUUUGGGGGGUAAUUCAUAUUCAGUGAACUGCGAACAGGUGCGCGUGUCAGAAGGGAGCGCGAGAUUCAGUGCGAACAGGGUGAGUGAUGGUUUUAAUAUUUUCUGGUAUAUCCAAGUUAAGUUACCCAGGAGCUUUGUUGACAUAGACUUAGCUAACGUUAGCUACAGCUUGAUGAAUUGAGUCAUUUAACACAGCAGGAGAGAACGCAACGUUGGCCAGCUAGCUAAAGCUCCGGUGGAAAAUGAUUAGCUAACGCUAGCGUUUUUGAGGAGGUAGAUUUAGAGGUGAGGGGACCGACGAGGCAGAAGGUAAAGUGCUCCACCGUUCUAUGCAAUAAGCAGACCUGCCAACCUGAUACGCAUUCUGACUUCGAAUGACUCGAAGAAAGAUUUGUUCAUUUUACUGAACGAGAUUCAAAGAAUCGAGUCGGUAAAAUGGUCGGUAAUAUCUUACCACCCCCCCGUCAACGAAUGACUCGAAGAAAUCUCUGGGACAAAACCAGUUGAAAACCCCUGCCCUAGAGGGGUAAUAUCCUUCUCACCUUUUUCACCCUUGACCCGUUUUCAUGCCUGUUCUUUUACCUGAUGUUUUGAUUCACUCAUGGCUCCAUUUCCCACUGAUAGACAGCUUUGUCUUUAAUCAGAGAUUGGCGGGUUGAUGCCAAUGAGUCCCAUGGGCAAGGCACAUUUCCCAAAAAAGGUUGGCGUCUGUGCAUGUCACAUGAAUGUUAGAUAGUCCUGAUGGAGGGGUGUAACCCUUGCUUUGCUCUGCCAUCAGUGUGUGAAUUGGUGAAUCAUGUGUGGUGGAAAAAUUGCUGAUCCCGCUAGCGUGGUUCCAUAAGAUGUUGAGAUAAAAAUGUUACAAAACUUUUCUUUUAUAGCUUCAUUCUUUGCAAAGAAGGUUCAAUUUCUGUGCAAAGUGCAGACAGUGUGCUCGAGAAAGAACUAACCUGAAAACAGUUGUUGUACAAUAUGACAGAUACAAAAACAGCAGGUGCAGGUGGUUUACAUCCCUGCAACACAAUUCCUUUUCAAGGUCAGCGCAGUGAGAGAGCAGAAGAAGAAACAAAGAGAUCCGGUGAAUGGAGUCCAACUCAGAUAGGUGGCCUCUUGUAUCUCGGAGUGAAAGUGGGAGUUACGCUGGUGAAACAGUCUGUACUACCAACAUGUCGCUACAGUUAAAAGUUUAAAGGAGACAUUCUUAUUGUUCUUACUUUGACCAUCAACAAGAGCUCCAUGUAAUGCUAUUGGAAUUGAGCUCAGGUAUAGGUAAAAGCAUAGAAAGUAAAAAAAAACACAAUAAUAUAAAAAAUAUGCUGAUACCAUUUAUAAGAAUAUAACAAUGUACAUUUUUCCUGUCAUAUAUAGUUUUAAAAAUGAACAAGGACAGAAAAUAGUAAAGAUUUAAUUAUACAGUUUACCAGUCCAAACUGUCCAAACGUUUCGAGUGGUUCUCUCUCUCUCUCUCUCUCUCUCUAUAUAUAUAUAUAUAUAUAUAUAUAU
ensembl:lncRNA